rnacentral:rRNA from 1 species
AUGACAAAAAGGAACAUAAACUACUACCUAAUGCCAGAUGAAGAAGACCCAGUAAGGCCAGUUCCAAACAAGAUUGGAAAGGUGAUGUUUCUCACAGCAGUUGCAAGGCCCAGAUACGACGCUGACGGGAAUGUCACAUUCUCAGGAAAGAUUGGGGUUUGGCCUUUCGUCACAACAGUUGUGACAUAAAGAAGGAGUGAAAAUAAAGAACGAGGUGUCAUAGAAUUCAAGUCACUCAUGGUGAACAGAGAAGUCAUGAGAUGA